CCCAACUCAUGUCGCGGCCCGUCAGGAAUCCAUUGCUCCUUAACAACCCUAUCUCUUCUCACCUCGAUCUGCCCACCGCCGCCGCCGCCGCCACCACUUUGCGACUCGCACCCGCAGCCACCUCCGCGCGCCCGCGCCGGCGCUCCUGCCCACCUCCAGGCGGCUCCGCGCGCCGGCCCCCUCGUCCCCACCCCCCGCGGGUGGCUGCGAGCGCACCAGCACCCUCGCCCCCACCUACUGCGGGUGGCUGCGAGCACAGCAGCGCCCUCGCCCUCACCCACCGCUGUGUGCCUCCGCACGCCUGCGCCCACCGCCGGGCGGCUGCGCGCGUGCCGGCGCCCUCGCCCCCACCCACCGCCGCGCAGGGCUUGCUGUUUGUUUUUGCUUUUGCUGUCCCAGGGCUUCUCCCGGAGGGGUUGCAGAAGACGCGGGCUAGGCUACAACAAGAUAUUGCUAAAUGUUCAUAGUUGAGUGGAUCCAGCCGUGGCAACGGGGGAUCUAGCCGCCGAUGCCGGAAAAGGCCCAUCUGUCUCUUCCCAAGGACUACAAAACUUGGCCAGGUCAUUAUCUGCAAAGCAAUUUGGUCAGUUUCUGAUAAGAUAAACUGAGCUUGAUUUAGUUUUUCAAGAGACAUAAAUGCAGUGAAAUUGAACUUGUAGCUGUACUUGGACACAUGAAGCGAAUGAAAUAUAUUUAGAGUAAAGUUUCAAUACUUUAUGAAAUAGCAUAGACAAGAAAAUGUGAUGCUUCAAUGUGGGAUUUUGUACUUAUCUAUUCAUUCUGCUGAUAUCUGAAGGUGAGUGCCUUUAUCUUAUCGACACUCCUUUUUUUCUGAAAGUGACUAGUGACCCUAUGUGCUCUUCAAUUGAAGUUUGUUUCUUGUUCAGAAUGGGUUAAUGUUUAACUGAAUUUCAGUUUGUAAUAUGCAUGCUUUGACUUAAGUUGAAAGUUUUUUUCAUUUCAGAACUAGAUAUAUACAGCAGGGUGCAUUGGUGAUUCAAUCACUACUAGUUCUUUUAAGGUUUGUCAACUUGAACAAGUACUGCUAUCUGAUCCAUUUAAUUUGGUCACGGCCAGGUACAAAGAUACAACAGAAUGGUGAAUGGAGCGCUGGUGAUCUUCAUGAUGCUAAAGCUCAACAUCAAGGUGAACUUCAGUUAAACUUUUUGCCGAGUUAACUUUAGUUUUAUUAAUUGAGUUAUGUAUACAUAGAGUUAGAAUUUAAAGCAACAUGUCAUAUUAAGUUCUCUUCAAUAAUGUAUAUUUAGUACAGUUAUCAUUUGCUUAGUUUAUGCCAUAUCUUGAUGGAUGGCUUGUAAUCUUUAUGUAUAAGUAAUUUUAGUGGACAUGUAUAUGGAACAACAAUUGGUUGAUGGCUUGUAAUCUUUAUGUAUAAGUGAUUUUAGUGGACAUGUAUAUGGAACUACAAUUGGAUCUGAUGGAGCUGAGAAAUUGUGAUUACAGAUGA